rnacentral:rRNA from 1 species
UACAGAGGGGGCAAGCGUUGUUCGGAAUUACUGGGCGUAAAGGGCGCGUAGGCGGCCUUCUAAGUCGAACGUGAAAUCCCUGGGCUCAACCCAGGAACUGCGUCCGAUACUGGAAGGCUUGAAUCCGGGAGAGGGAUGCGGAAUUCCAGGUGUAGCGGUGAAAUGCGUAGGUAUCUGGAGGAACACCGGUGGCGAAGGCGGCAUCCUGGACCGGUAUUGACGCUGAGGCGCGAAAGCCAGGGGAGCAAACGGG